CUACGGGUUGCUGCAGUGGGGAAUUUUGCGCAAUGGGGGAAACCCUGACGCAGCAAUACCGCGUGAGUGAAGAAGGCCUUUGGGUCGUAAAGCUCUUUUCUUGGGGAAGAUAGUGACGGUACCCAAGGAAUAAGCACCGGCUAACUCCGUGCCAGCAGCCGCGGUAAUACGGAGGGUGCAAGCGUUGUUCGGAUUUACUGGGCGUAAAGGGCACGUAGGCGGCACAGCAAGUUAAGGGUGAAAUCCCGGGGCUCAACUCCGGAACUGCUCUUAAAACUGCUGAGCUAGAGAUAGUCAGAGGCGGGUGGAAUUCCAGGUGUAGAGGUGAAAUUCGUAGAUAUCUGGAGGAACACCGGUGGCGAAGGCGGCCCGCUGGGGCUAUUCUGACGCUAAGGUGCGAAAGCGUGGGGAGCAAACGGGAUUAGAUACCCGAGUAGUC
rnacentral:rRNA from 1 species